GAUGAACGCUGGCGGCGUGCCUAAUACAUGCAAGUCGAGCGAACGGACGAGAAGCUUGCUUCUCUGAUGUUAGCGGCGGACGGGUGAGUAACACGUGGAUAACCUACCUAUAAGACUGGGAUAACUUCGGGAAACCGUAGCUAAUACCGGAUAAUAUUUUGAACCGCAUGGUUCAAAAGUGAAAGACGGUCUUGCCGUCACUUAUAGAUGGAUCCGCGCUGCAUUAGCUAGUUGGUAAGGUAACGGCUUACCAAGGCAACGAUGCAUAGCCGACCUGAGAGAGUGAUCGGCCACACUGGAACUGAGACACGGUCCAGACUCCUACGGGAGGCAGCAGUAGGGAAUCUUCCGCAAUGGGCGAAAGCCUGACGGAGCAACGCCGCGUGAGUGAUGAAGGUCUUCGGAUCGUAAAACUCUGUUAUUAGGGAAGAACAUAUGUGUAAGUAACUGUGCACAUCUUGACGGUACCUAAUCAGAAAGCCACGGCUAACUACGUG
rnacentral:rRNA from 1 species